rnacentral:rRNA from 1 species
AUGAGCUUAUCUUCCAUUGGGGUCAUCGGUGCCAUCAAUGAGUGUAUCACUUUGUUUCAGUGGGCCAAAUCCGCCAUUUCAUCUCUGCACUCCCGAUGGAGUGGCUCACAGCAGCAAGAUCUCCAAGGUCGUAUAUCACAGUUGGAGAGUGGCCUACAAGGUCUCAGGGAUACUCUUCCCAUAAUGCAUGACCUCAUUAAUAAAGCAGAGUGGAGGAGCCAUGAUGACGUUGUGGCAAGUCUCCUUCCGAAACUCAAGGAUUCAGUGUCUGACGCCGAGGACCUUAUUGAUGAGUUUAGUUGGUAUGAGAAGAAGGUGCAAGUGGAGGGCGAUGCAGGCGAGUCUCCUUUCAUUGAAUUCUUUGAUAGUGUAAUCCAAGGUAGCUUCAAUAAGCUGAAUGAUGCCCAAUUGAGAUUGGAUCGUCUUUCGAGUCAGCUUUGGGGCUUCAUGGAAUUGCACAACGCUUUGACAAAUUAG